CAUCAACCAAUAGUCAGAUGGUUGAUGGGGUGUGCAUCAACCAAUUAGUCAGAUGGUUGAUGGUGUCGUGUCAUCAACCAAUUAGUCAAGAUGGUUGAUGGUGUCGUGUCAUCAACCAAUUAGUCAAGAUGGUUGAUGGUGUCGUGUCAUCAACCAAUUAGUCAGGAUGGUUGAUGGUGUCGUGUCAUCAACCAUUAGUCAGGAUGGUUGAUGGUGUCGGGUCAUCAACCAAUUAGUCAUGAUGGUUGAUGGUGUGGUGUCAUCAACCAAUUAGUCAGAUGGUUGAUGGGGUCGUGUCAUCAACCAAUUAGUCAUGAUGGUUGAUGGUGUCGUGUCAUCAACCAAUUAGUCAAGAUGGUUGGUGUCGUGUCAUCAACCAAUUUGUCAUGAUGGUUGAUGGUGUCGUGUCAUCAACCAAUUUGUCAUGAUGGUUGAUGGGUGUCGUGUCACAACCAAUUUGUCAUGAUGGUUUGAUGGUGUAGUGUAAUCAACCAAUUAGUCAAGAUGGUUGAUGGUGUAGUGUCAUCAAGAGGGUUGAUGGUGUAGUGUCAUCAACCAAUCCCCAUUAGAAGAAGUUAUUAAUGACAUACAGUGCCUUGCAAAAGUAUCGGCCCCCUUGAACUUUGCGACCUUUUGCCACAUUCAGGCU
rnacentral:lncRNA from 1 species